rnacentral:rRNA from 1 species
UACGUAGGGCGCAAGCGUUAUCCGGAAUUAUUGGGCGUAAAGAGCUCGUAGGCGGUUUGUCGCGUCUGCCGUGAAAGUCCGGGGCUCAACUCCGGAUCUGCGGUGGGUACGGGCAGACUAGAGUGCGGUAGGGGAGAUUGGAAUUCCUGGUGUAGCGGUGGAAUGCGCAGCUAUCAGGAGGAACACCGGUGGCGAAGGCGGUGGUCUGGGCCGGCACUGACGCUGAGGAGCGAAAGCGUGGGUAGCAAACAGG